CUCAUUUUCAGAUACAGGGUAUAUUAGGCUCGCCGUAUGAUUGGGUUAUCAUGCUUCCAAAAAGCCAUUUAUUUCUUACUCAAUAAGAUGUAGUUUUAAAAUGGUAUAAGAGUCAUUAAAAUGUUUUCCAGUUUUAAAAUGAUAGUCAUUUCUUUCCAUCUUAUUUGUAAUAUAUUGCUCUGAAUCCCAUUUACACUCUUUUCAAAUAUUAGGAACUAACAACUGCUAUAUCUGUAGAGAUCUAUUUGUUGCACAACCCAAAUCCAUAAACUAUUUAUUUUAUGUUGUGAAUUCUUAAUCUGUUUACUGAGAUGCAUAGCAAUCAUGAUAUUGUCAUUUUGAUUUAAAAAUGAUAGGAAACAGUCGUAAUAUCAUUUGAAUGAGCACAAUUGUAUCUUGCAAGUUUAUAUGAAGUUAUGAUUUUCCAUUUUGCUGGUAUCAGUUCUUUGAUCAGUAUUCUCCGAAUUCUUACUAUUAAAAUGCAAGAGCUGACAAAAGGAAAAUAUUUCUUCUCACAGUGAGAUAAUGCUUUAACCUCAAUGCCUGCAUGUUAGGCAUCUCUAUUUCACACCACUUUUCCUCCUAACUCCCAAUAGUUUGGCAGUGAUAAGAAUAUUUGACUUCUUAUUUAAAACAAAACUUGAUGAUAGUCACAUGAGAGAUCAAAGAAACUAUUAAGCUUUUUUUCUAUAUAGAAGCUAGUGAAGUUUUAACAGCCAUUAGUAUUUCAUGAAAAAAAAAACAACUUUGUCUGCUAAAUUUAUGCACUUUAAGGCCUUUAGUUAAACAUUUCAAUGUCUUAAAAGGAAAAUCAGCUGAAAAGACAAACCACCAAAUGUGAUAAAAGAUGAUAAUUGUUUCAGAACCCAACCAAGGCUUAUAAUGAAGUAGAAUACUUUUAUUCUUAAACAGUAUACAAAAUAGUUUUGAAAAUUUCUUAUUUGUUGCCAGAAUAAUUUCAGCACUAACUUGGACCUUGCUUUUUAUUUCCUGCUUUGAUAUUUUAAAGUUAAUAUUCACUUGAAUUGUGUUAUGUACUGUGUUGAUAACACAUUACAUGAAAAAUAGUGAGUUGAGCAUUUUUCUGGAUUUACCCACAUACCAUGUAAAAAUAAAUUUCAAAGACAAAAUUUAAAGACAAAAUUAAUAUUAAGAAAAAAACUUUAAUAGUUUAUUUGUAAGUAGGCUAGUUAUCUAUUCUGAUCAGAGCAGACAUAUUUGUUUAUAUAUAAAAUUUAAGUAAUGCACAUCAUAUAAUACUAGGUCACACUUACAUGUAAAAUAUUUAAUUACACAGCAACUGAUAGGUUUGACUUCCAUUGCUUUUGAAUACAAAAAAAGUGAAGGCUUCAAAUCCUUUUAAAUUGUAAUAUGCAAUUUUACUCUCCAUUUAAAAAGUAUUUGUUCUCAAGUGACUCAUAAGAUAGUGAACACAAAAUAUAUUGAAAAUCAUGUCAUACAAGAAAUACUCUAUACUCUUUACAUCAUUAUAUGUCCCAGUAUUGAAAUUGAACAUGUUCUUAACUAGCUUGUUUGCUAAAUAAAAAACAUUUGCUACAUUCAAGUGGCAGCAGAGUUCACCACAUUUUUUUAGGGGUAUAUAGGUGAAUGUUCUUUUGUCCAUUCAAACAUCCAGCUUCGAAUUUUUCUCCAUCAUUAAGUGUGGGUCAUCUGUAGAGGCCAGUGACAUGAUUUCUCAGUCCCUAUCUGAGAGUUUUUCAGUAUCAGAAAGUCUGGAAUUCUACUUCCAAAUUUUAAAGGCAUUACAGUAUAUUUCAAUUUAUUUCAGCUAUUUAUCACUUUGGAGACAUUAUUUUGGGGAGAAGUCCAAUGUAAAGAAGUUAAUUUAACAACAC
rnacentral:lncRNA from 1 species